GUGUCAGCCGCCGCGGUAAUACGGAGGAUCCGAGCGUUAUCCGGAUUUAUUGGGUUUAAAGGGUGCGUAGGCGGAAUAAUAAGUCAGUUGUGAAAGUUUGCGGCUCAACCGUAAAAUUGCAGUUGAUACUGUUAUUCUUGAGUGUACAUAAGGUAGGCGGAAUUCGUGGUGUAGCGGUGAAAUGCUUAGAUAUCACGAAGAACUCCAAUUGCGAAGGCAGCUUACCGGGGUACAACUGACGCUGAGGCACGAAAGUGUGGGUAUCAAACAGGAUUAGAUACCCUGGUAGUCCACACAGUAAACGAUGAAUACUCGCUGUUUGCGAUAUACAGCAAGCGGCCAAGCGAAAGCAUUAAGUAUUCCACCUGGGGAGUACGCCGGCAACGGUGAAACUUAAAUGAAUUGACGG
rnacentral:rRNA from 1 species